AAUAUCCCAAAUCUCCCAGUAACCGGACGAAACACAGUUCUGAGAGUCAACUGAAGGCUUUAUUCACAGGCUCCACAAUUUAUACAAUUCCCCAUGCAAGGGGUUUAAUGAGUCCUAUCCCAGGAGUGGACUACGUGGGGAACUUACAUUACAGAGCCUUUCCCCCAUCAGGCACUGCUGCACGAGAGGGAUCCUCCCACUGGAAUAUACUGUUAAGUGGAUUAUCCCUCCAUGCAGC